rnacentral:ncRNA from 1 species
AGAUAGAGGUGCAGGUAUUAAAAGUAGGUUUAUAGAGAAAAGUCAAUUCUGUGAAAUAAGCUGAAAGGAAUAACUGCCGAAGUGCAAAGAGUGACUUCCUUUGUUGCUGGGGCUAUGGAAAAUAUCCAUAGAACUGUCAUUAUCUUAAAAAUAAGAUAAUGUUGAGCUGUC